UACGAAGGGGGCUAGCGUUGCUCGGAAUCACUGGGCGUAAAGCGCACGUAGGCGGCUUUCUAAGUCAGGGGUGAAAUCCUGGAGCUCAACUCCAGAACUGCCUUUGAUACUGGAGAGCUUGAGUCCGGGAGAGGUGAGUGGAACUCCGAGUGUAGAGGUGAAAUGCGUAGAUAUCUGGAGGAACACCGGUGGCGAAGGCGGCAUUCUGGACCAUAACUGACACUGAGAGACGAAAGCCAGGGGAGCAAACAGG
rnacentral:rRNA from 1 species